rnacentral:snRNA from 1 species
AAAGCCUGGCUUGGCUCAAUUGUUGUGGUUUCUUCCCUCGCCUUUUACUAGGGGAGACCGCGGGCUAAGUGAAUGGUUCGAGCCGAAAUUUUUUCGCACGUUGUUUGAUUGAGAUGUC